UGACUAUUUAAAGUUCACUGCCAUGUUCUAGCUGAGAGCUGCAAUAGCUCAAAUUGAAGAGGCAAAAUGGGUGAUAGCAAUUUGAUGUUCCAUGAGAAGAUUCCACAGUAAGUGGACAAGAGAGAAACAUCAUAGGCCAUGUGGCUUGCAAUGUGUUCAGGCAACAUUCAUAUCUUUGAAAGACUACAACAACCAUGUUAGAUAGGCUUACGAUGGCUUCUUCCAACUUCUGAAUCUAAACUUCUGCAAGUCUGGAACUCUAUAUUUCGUCAAUAUGUUUCUCUCUUCCUUUCCAUGUUUCUUUAUAUGAUCAAUUUUCCAAUAGAUUCUCCUUUGGCCAAUUUUUUUCCUCGUUCUCUUUACCCCUUGCCGCUUCGCAUGGAUGUAAAAGACAGAUUUUGUUUUUGGUUUUUUUGUUUGUCCUUUUGGACAAAGUUUGGUUUAGUCAUGGUGCUAACUUCAUGAGCA